rnacentral:ribozyme from 13 species
UAAGAGGAGAGAAAGAGAAAGAAAAAGAGAAGAGAAAGAAGAAAGAGACAGAAGGGAAUGCAAAGAUGGAGGAUUUUUUUUUUUUUUUUUUCCCUCUUCUUCCUCUCUC